UUGAAUCAAGCAGGUGUGUGACAGAUGUUCAGACAAUUGACAAAGCAUUUGGUGACCAGUCUGUUUUUGAGCACUCUUGAGACUUGAUGAUGAUCAUAAUUGCGGAGACCUCAACAGAACGAUAUCAACAAAAAUUAGCUGCGACUGGAAGGCUGCUGAGCAUCUCGCAUUGUCGACUGUGAUGUCUUAUACAAAAUAUAUUGACUCGUAACGACAAUCGAAAUGAAGAUUGGGAUCAUACUAUUAAUAAUUUUUGCGCUUUUUGACGUGGUGAUAUGUGUUGUACCAACUUUUUUGCCAAAGAAAACUUUGAAUCAGAGAUCUGAACUUAUUAUUGAAUAUUUCAAGCUUUUGCUAAUUCAAACACACCUUGAUCGAAUUGCUCGAAAUUGGAAUACUCAAACGAUUAGAUCCCAAAAUAAUAACGAGCUCAAUUAUGGAAAACCUGACGUAAUGUUCCAUUUACCAGAAUUAUUUGAUAGCCAAGAUUUCGGCACAAAUGUUGAUAUAUACAAGACGUUAUUUGCUGUCAACGAAUGUACUCCAUUCCGAACAACAAAAAUAAAGACUUUAAAGAAUUGGCUCAACUCCUGAGACCGGGUUUGCAAAUGCCACAUAACGCUAAUACUGCCUGCACCCAGCGGUCUGCCAUCCAGAGGAGAAACCGAUACUCAUGUGAGAACAUGCUAGGAAGAUAAACAGCAGCAACAUUUUUCUAAGAAACUCAUACGGACUAUCGUCAUAUAAAAUGACAGUGAUUUGGUUCUUUUCUGUAAAAUUAUGAUAUUAUUCUUAUGUUGAUAUACACAACAUUUGUUAAUGUAAUCGUCUCAAA